rnacentral:rRNA from 1 species
CACUCCUGCGGGAGGCAGCAGUGGGGAAUUUUGGACAAUGGGCGAAAGCCUGAUCCAGCAAUGCCGCGUGUGUGAAGAAGGCCUUCGGGUUGUAAAGCACUUUUGUCCGGAAAGAAAUCCUUGGCUCUAAUACAGUCGGGGGAUGACGGUACCGGAAGAAUAAGCACCGGCUAACUACGUGCCAGCAGCCGCGGUAAUACGUAGGGUGCGAGCGUUAAUCGGAAUUACUGGGCGUAAAGCGUGCGCAGGCGGUUUGCUAAGACCGAUGUGAAAUCCCCGGGCUCAACCUGGGAACUGCAUUGGUGACUGGCAGGCUAGAGUAUGGCAGAGGGGGGUAGAAUUCCACGUGUAGCAGUGAAAUGCGUAGAGAUGUGGAGGAAUACCGAUGGCGAAGGCAGCCCCCUGGGCCAAUACUGACGCUCAUGCACGAAAGCGUGGGGAGCAAACAGGAUUAGAAACCCGGGUAGUCCCA